AGAGUUUGAUCCUGGCUCAGGACGAACGCUGGCGGCGUGCUUAACACAUGCAAGUCGAACGCGGUCCAUCCGGUGGCAACACUGGUGAAGACUGAGUGGCGAACGGGUGAGUAACACGUGAGCAACCUGCCCCGAAGACCGGGAUAAGCCUGGGAAACCGGGUCUAAUACCGGAUACCCCCACCGGGCUGCAUGACCUGGUGAGGAAAUGGAUUCCGCUUCGGGAGGGGCUCGCGGCCUAUCAGCUUGUUGGUGGGGUAACGGCCUACCAAGGCGUCGACGGGUAGCUGGUCUGAGAGGACGAUCAGCCACACUGGGACUGAGACACGGCCCAGACUCCUACGGGAGGCAGCAGUGGGGAAUCUUGCGCAAUGGGCGAAAGCCUGACGCAGCAACGCCGCGUGAGGGAUGAAGGCCUUCGGGUUGUAAACCUCUUUCAGCAGGGACGAUUGUGACGGUACCUGCAGAAGAAGCCCCGGCCAACUACGUGCCAGCAGCCGCGGUAAUACGUAGGGGGCGAGCGUUGUCCGGAUUCAUUGGGCGUAAAGAGCUCGUAGGCGGCUUAGCAAGUCGGGUGUAAAACCUCCAGGC
rnacentral:rRNA from 1 species